CCUACGGGUGGCAGCAGUGGGGGAUAUUGCACAAUGGGGGAAACCCUGAUGCAGCGACGCCGCGUGUGGGAAGACGGUCCUCUGGAUUGUAAACCACUGUCCCCAGGGACGAAGAUGACGGUACCUGGGGAGGAAGCGCCGGCUAACUACGUGCCAGCAGCCGCGGAAAGACGUAGGGGGCAAGCGUUGUCCGGAAUUACUGGGGGUAAGGGGAGCGUGGGCGGGAUGGCAAGUUGGGUGUUAAAUCUACCGGCUCAACGGGUAGUUGCAUUCAAAACUGCUAUUCUUGAGUGAAGUAGAGGCAGGCGGAAUUCCUAGUGUAGCGGUGAAAUGCGUAGAUAUUAGGAGGAACACCAGUGGCGAAGGCGGCCUGCUGGGCUUUUACUGACGCUGAGGCGCGAAAGUGUGGGGAGCAAACAGGAUUAGAUACCCUUGUAGUC
rnacentral:rRNA from 1 species